rnacentral:lncRNA from 1 species
CGUGUCCAUGCAGAAAGGGUUCGUUUCGCAACUCCGGAGGUUUUCUUUCUCCUUUUUUUCUUUCUUUCCUUUUUUUUUUUUUAAACUUAUUUUCCUUUACGUCCUGCAUCGCCCGUCUCAUUCCGGGAGAUCAAACUGACCGAAACCAGCUACCCAGCGCCUCGUCCUCACUGACAGUCGGGGGAAUCCAAACAAAGAGGAAUUUGCCAGAUCUUUCUUGUUAUGUGGUUGCUGAAGCAUUUUCCUGGCACAGCAGUGGUGAUUGA